UCGAACAUAAUCAUAUACGAGUAACAGAAAGUAUUUUGUUACAAAUGAUUGCAAUUUUUUUUGUAUUCUAAAUAGCAAUGCAGAAAUUACAAACAAAGAAACGGCAUUGCAAGAAUAACAAGUGUGAAACCAAAACACAUUAAGAACCUACUGUUAAUGCAAUGGAGAAGUGUCAAACGAAACGUCAAAUAUAAAUUGUGAAGUCGCUCUAAACACCUGCACGCACAUAUCCUUCCGGACGGUUGCCACUAGUUGGGCGCAAUUGAUACACAAGGACACACACAAACUGGGCUGUCUUCGUACGGAAGGUGGCUUACAAAGCGCUUGGUAAGACAACACACUCGGCACAGGCUUCAAUAAAAUUUCUGCUUCAAUACCAGCAGGCGCCACAAGAAAUAUCACCGUUCACAGUCCGAUGGCCUGAUGGUAGCUGGGGAAAGUCUCGCAACUAGCUGAUUUUUUUCCGCAAUAAAAUAUCGCACUUUCCCCCUUUAUAGCUAGGAUGGCCAGUGUUAUUCUUCAAACCACAGGAAUCACUUUCUAUACACAAAAGAAAUGACAAAAUCACAAAUCUACUACAAAUUUUAGGAACCACAGUUCACUCACAUUCAAAUCUGUUCACACAAUACACGAAGAUAAAAAUUAA